AAUCCUACCCAAAAGCCCCAAAAUAUUAAAUCCCUAAACCAGUAAACCUUUCCUAGUUCUUCCUCGCUCAAACGCAGAAGCUCCUCUCAACCAUCACUCCUCACUCCAAAAUAGAGAACCAUUCUUCCUCAAUCUCAAUUCCUCUCAUUUUUUUGAAAAAGUAGCGGGCAUCGAAUCUUUGAUCAAUUGGGGAGUCUGAUGAAAUCGAAGUUUGUGUUCGCGGGUCAAUUGGGGAGUAUGAUGAAAUCAAAGCCAACUGAAAAGUCAUUCAAAGACUCGAGAACAACUACUUCAGCAAUUGAGAAGUCAUUCAAUCUCCAUGGAUAUCAAAGUUGAGGAACAACUUGAAACAAUUCAAGACUUGAAGGAAAUCAAAGUUGAUGACUCAAUGAACAAUGAAAUUAAGAAGGUAGAUGACUCAAUAAGCAAGCUGGAAAUUCUGAACGUUGGUGACUCCAGAAAAGUUCAAGAUUUUCUUUUGAUUUAAACAAAUUUCCCGAUGAAAGCGAAGCAGCGAUUGAAGAUGAAGAUCUACAACAAGUAAUUAGGACUAUGUUGAAAAUAUAUCUUCCUACAAAGGAAUGUUUAGAUCAAUUUGAAGUGGAGAAAUUUGGUGCUUUUCCAUUUUAGCCAUGUUUAACAAUAACCUGGAAAUUGAGCUUCCUUUAAAAAGAUAGUUUUGGUGGCAAAAAUUUGCUCCAGUUUGUUUUUUCAAAGACGUUCUUAAAAUUUUAGCAAAAGUUUCAAAUUUUAUUUUGAAUAAUGUAGUGAUAUGAGAAGAGAAGUAAAUGCCACUA